rnacentral:rRNA from 1 species
AAGCCACAUGGCCAGGAGAGUGAUCUUCAUCUGCUCGCCCAGAAGGAAGGAGAGCCCCUGCGCAAGUACAUUCAGAGAUUCAGCAGUGUGCAGCACAACAUCCCAGACGUCCACCCUGCCACGGUGAUCAGCGCGUUCCAUCAGAACGUGCGAAACCGCAGGAUGCGGGAGGAAAUGGUGAUGUGCAAGAUCAGGGACGUCAGUGAGUUAUAUGCAUUGGCCGACAAGUGUGCACGUGCUGAGGAAGGGAGGAGACUCCCCGGAGAGAAUGUAGGAGCGGGAGGAUCUGACAGUGAAGAUCCUGCCCCGGCAAGGAAAAACCGGCGACGGAAC